rnacentral:lncRNA from 1 species
AAUACUAAAUAUUUUGUUUUCCCAUUUUCAAGUUGAAAUUAUACUUGAGUCUGAAGCAGAAGAACCAGCUGAUUCCUCUUGACAUUCGCCUACCACCUGGGAAAAAAAUUACUCUCAAAAUACAAAUAUAGCCUGGAUCCCAAGAUGGCCAAAUAAGAGGCAGCUCGCAGCAAGAAAGAUGCAGAAACGGAGUGAUCUCCACAAUUCCAAAUGAGAUUCUUUGAAUGCUGGGGUACUAGCCUAUGUGGAAUCGUAGCCUCUGGAACAGUAAUUUAGCAUUUCAGUCAGGAUCUUCUGCACUUUCAAUUUUAGCCUCUGAAGUUCCAGAUCAGGGAUACAGGAAAGCAGUGCUUCCUAUCACCGGUAAGUUGGUGAGUAGGAGAGAAGAGAUCAUUGAAGCUCCU